GGGUUGUGAGGUUAAGCGACUAAGCGUACACGGUGGAUGCCCUGGCAGUCAGAGGCGAUGAAGGGCGUGCUAAUCUGCGAUAAGCGCCGGUAAGGUGAUAUGAACCGCWAYAACCGGCGAUACCCGAAUGGGGAAACCCAGUGUGUUYCGACACACUAUCAUGCAGUGAAUACAUAGCUGUAUGAGGCGAACCGGGGGAACUGAAACAUCUAAGUACCCCGAGGAAAAGAAAUCAACCGAGAUUCCCCCAGUAGCGGCGAGCGAACGGGGAGGAGCCCAGAACCAUCAUCAGCUUGUGCAUCAGUGGAAGCGUCUGGAAAGUCGCAGGGUACAGGGUGAUACUCCCGUACACAAAGGUGCACAGGCUGUGAGUUCGAUGAGUAAGGCGGGACACGUGGUAUCCUGUCUGAAUAUGGGGGGACCAUCC
rnacentral:rRNA from 1 species